CACGAAGUGAGUGGCGGACGGGUGAGUAACACGUGGGUAACCUGCCCAGAAGCAGGGGAUAACACCUGGAAACAGAUGCUAAUACCGUAUAACAGAGAAAACCGCCUGGUUUUCUUUUAAAAGAUGGCUCUGCUAUCACUUCUGGAUGGACCCGCGGCGCAUUAGCUAGUUGGUGAGGUAACGGCUCACCAAGGCGAUGAUGCGUAGCCGACCUGAGAGGGUAAUCGGCCACAUUGGGACUGAGACACGGCCCAGACUCCUACGGGAGGCAGCAGUAGGGAAUCUUCCACAAUGGACGCAAGUCUGAUGGAGCAACGCCGCGUGAGUGAAGAAGGGUUUCGGCUCGUAAAGCUCUGUUGUUAAAGA
rnacentral:rRNA from 1 species